UUGCAAUGAAGCAUCUGCCGCUCACUGUUUUUUUGUUAUUUUUUUUCCUGAUUACUCCAAUUCAAAAACAUCAUCCUACCAGCUCUUUUAGUUGUUAAAUAUCCCUGUGCUUGUGGCUACAUUUCUUUGCACUGGAGAAAUGAUCUCAUUAACAAACUAGUUCUGUGCGUCCUUAACACUGAGGCCCCUCGCCUGCAGCUGGAGGCAGCUCUCUGUUCAGCCCCAGUGCAGAGUGACACAGACAGGCGACAGCGUCGCUGAGCACCAACUUCUAUUCCACGGAGGCAGACAGCGAAAACCAUUUCAUAACCAUGGCAAGGCAUGAGAGAAGCACAGGCAUGGUGCAGAGGGCAGAAAGAAGACAAAGAACGAAGAUAAAAGAAGCCUUUUUCCUCAAGAAGAUUGUAAUCUAGUGGUGGAGCUGGAAAAUAAAGGAAAGCAGUGGCCAUGUAUGUCAUGAGGACAUUCCAGUAACCCCAUGUGGUAAGGAACCAAGUCAGCCUGCCAACAACCACUGAAAAACUGAGCCCUCCUGCUGACAGCCAUGUGAGAGGAACACCUGGGAAGUGGAUCCUCCAGGCCUGGUCAUACUUCAGAUGACUGCAGCCCAAGCCAACAUCUUGCUUGAGUGGAGCCUCAUGAGUGACUCAGUCAAAACCACACAGCUGAGAUAUUUCCAACCCACAGAUACUGAGAUAAUAAAUGUUUAUUGCUACUAGGUUUCCUUCCUUCCUUCCUUCCUUCCUUUUUCUCUUCUCUUCUCCUUCCUUCCUUCCUCCCUCCCUCUCCUCCUCCUCCGUCUUCUUCCUCUUCCUCUUCUUCCUCUUCCCCUUCCCCUUCCUCUUCCUCCUUCUUUCUUUCUUACUUUCUUUCUCUUUCUUUCUUUCUUUCUCUAUGAAAAUAUCAGGUGUACUAUAUUUUACCUGCCUUCAUGUAUAUUUGAAUAAUUCCAUAAUAAAACUUUUUAAAAUUCACUUGUAUUUUUCUUUAUUUUUCUAAGGAUUUAAUUUAAAUAAUAACUAUUAAUAAUUUAGUUAAAAUUUAUUUUCUUUAAAAAGAGUCAUGUUAAGCCCCUUCACAAUUUUUCCCCAAUAAUAUUUACAUACAUUUGAAUUUUCC
rnacentral:lncRNA from 10 species